GGUAGGGUGGCCGAGUGAAGGUUGCGGGUUGUAGCCCCGAAGACAGAGGUUUAAGCCCUCUCCCUACUA
rnacentral:tRNA from 2 species